rnacentral:lncRNA from 1 species
CUAACCGGGGAUGCUCCAGCAUCGCGACGCUGCACUCUAUCUGUGUCUCUCUGUGUGUGUGCCAGUGGGUUUGACGGAGGUAAGGAGAGAGAGGGAGCGGGCGAGACAAAGGCAGAGCAAGAGGAGAGAGAGAGAGGGAGCAAAGGAGUGAGAGAGAGGGAGAGACGUGCACACACACACACACAUACGGAGCGAGACGGGAGGAGAGAAGAGGAGUGGAGAGAAUGCCUGGCGAAAGGGUGGCGCUUCCUCGCUUGCUGCUUCCAGGGCCUCUGUGAGAGACAGACACCAUGGGCUGCAUCGGCUCCCGGACCAUCACAGCGGACGCUGUUCCUGUACGGAAAGAUGGGGAGCAGGUAUGGAUGACAUUUCAAUGUACGUUUUAUCCCCCUGAAGUGAAAUAUAAUUUGUCUGGAUCGUACACCAUUCCAGCUCUACCCUCGAGUGCAUUUCUUCCUUGAGCCAAGAUGGCCAUUGAGGAAAAGUGUAGUUUCAUGUUUUUUUAAAUUUUAUUAUAUCUAGUAGUGAAACUGAGCGUGUCUCGCUCACACUGCUCCCUAUACUGAGAGUGCAAUGAUCUAAUGUUGCUCAGAGAUGGUUUAUAUUGAAUUUCUCACAAAGGCCACUGGAGCAGGUCUCGAGAGCCCAAACCAUUAUGUACUGUAUAUAAUCUCCCUCUCCAGGGACAUAGCAUACGAUCCAUCUUACUCAUUUACCACUGUUGCUGUUGAGUUUUUCUCUCUUUAAAGAGGCUACACGGCUGAAUUGCAAUACACAAUGGGGUCUUUUAAAACAACACAAAGACCCUACACAAUGACAACCAACAAGACCGCCACAGAUGUUUAAACAUGAAUAGAGCGUGUAGGCUACAUAGUCUACUACGCUUAAUAUGCUCUUUGAAUAUGUUUUGUGGGGCAACCCAUCUCCAUUUCUGUUAGAUGUCUGACAAGCAACAACAACAAAAAAUGUUCACCCCAUAUAGUUCUGGAUAUGAUGGAUGGAUAUGGAUUGGCCAGGGGUCACCUAUUUUUCAGAAAUCUGUCAACACAGCAGUGGCAGCUGAGCUGAGGUAGAUGC